rnacentral:rRNA from 1 species
AUUGAACGCUGGCGGCAGGCCUAACACAUGCAAGUCGAGCGAGCGGCGGCCGGGUGAGUAAUGUAUGGGGACUGCCCGAUAGAGGGGGAUAACUACUGGAAACGGUAGCUAAUACCGCAUACUAUCGGAUCACCCAUAGGGGAUUAGCUAGUAUGUGAGGUAAUGGCGCACCUAGGCGACGAUCCCUAGCGGGUCUGAGAGGAUGAUCAGCCAAACUGGGACUGAGACACGGCCCAGACUCCGACGGAGGCAGCAGGGGGGAAUAUUGCACAAUGGGCGCAAGCCUGAUGCAGCCAUGACGCGUGUAUGAAGAAGGCCUUAGGGUUGUAAAGUACUUUCAGUCGGGAGGCGUUACCGACAGAAGAAGCACCGGCUAACUCCGUGCCAGCAGCCGCGGUAAUAC